GGCGGUAGCUCAGUGGUAGAGUGUUUACCUAGCACAAGUGAGGCCCUGGGUUCGAUCCUCAGCACCA
rnacentral:tRNA from 1 species